AAUAGGAUUUAGGAAAAUUCAACAGAAGGUCCAAGAUUGUGUUGCUGGAUUAGUAAUAAGUACACUGGAGAAGCUAGAAGACUUUGACUUGAUUUACACCUAUAGCCUACGUCCGCAGCCAAAGGCUUCUUCAUUUUGGAAUGAAAACACGUGGUUUGGAUAUCAACGUCUUAAUGGUUGUAACCCCAAAUCAAUAAGAUUGUGUGAAGAAAUCCCUUCAAAAUGUGUGCUCCCAUUGCAUUAUUUAUGCUGAAUUCAAACGAUGAUUUGACACCAAUUGCAAUACAACUGCGACAGGACAAAGGACGAGAAAAUCCUGUCUUUCUUCCUACAGACGAUUGGGGCGUUUGGACUCUUGCUAAAAUUUGGUACAAUAUGGCUGAUGCCAAUUAUCAUCAAUCUGUUGUGCA
rnacentral:lncRNA from 1 species